rnacentral:lncRNA from 1 species
CAGGUGGAGCAGUGAGUACUGAGGCUGUGCUUCAUCUCAUCCAGGUAACAUCAGGGUCUCUGUACUGCUGGGGUAAAUCACCACGGUUACUUAAUCAGAUUGGAGAUCAACAAUACUGUAGUUUAGCUUUUUCUCUCAUGCUUCUGAUUUUAUAUAAAAUACACAACAUAUACUUUAACUUUACUUACUCAGUAAACCCUGGUUAAACUUAACAAGUUGAGCUUUGUGUGACUGCUUAUUCUGAACAACAGUGUUGGUGUGAGAUACUGUAGGUGUGUUGAACUCACUACAUAGUACAGACUUUACUUCAGAUGUGUGUGUAACUUCUGACUCGUAAACGUGGGUUUCAAUCUACACUGUGUUUCAAAAUCCAAAGCAAUUUGACCACAAGCAAAACCAUUUUACUAAUGUCUACGUAAUUUACACACAAUUUACUUUCAGUUUCACAAGUCUGAUCAUUUUUUUACUUCCUGUGAGCACAGAUGUCUAAAAAUAUGUGACUCUAUUUUUAACUGAUGUGCAGAACCUUAAAUGUGUGAAGGAGACACACAGAUCACGUCACAUGCCCACACUUAUGCUACUGUUAGCGUUAUGUGCUCUCAGCUGACAUGUGAUAUCCUGUCAUAUCAGGUAAUUCCUUCACACAUUUGCUGAACAUAAACAUUUUGGAGGGUAAAUAAUCUCUAUUCACUGUUGGACGUACACAUUUGUAAAUCUUAGUUUAUGUUUGUGGAUCAUGUCAGAAACUUUGGUAACACAAACUUCUCGUGUAUUUUCAGUCGACUCAGCUUCUCUUUCAAAAUAUGUAACACUCUGAAUUUGGGAUCUGCAGGACAACCUGAGAUGGAUGCUGGGAAAUCUGUGAUAUUCUGCUGGAUUCUGGUCGUCUGCUUUUCACUGGCUGCAUAUGCAGACCAGAAAACGAUCACAGCUGAGUCUGGACAGAACGUCACUCUGACAUGUCGAGCUGCAAACAACAACAUCAUUGUUGUUGUAGAGUGGAGCAGAGCUGAUCUGGAGCCAGAUUAUGUCCUCCUGUACCGUGAUGAGCGGUUUGAUCCAGAAAACCAGCAUCUAUCUUUUAAGAACCGGGUGGAUCUGCAGGACAGACAGAUGAAGGAUGGAGACGUGUCUUUGAUUCUGAAGGAUGUGACGAGUGCUGAUAAUGGAACAUAUGAGUGUCGUGUCUUCAUGAGAGGAGCAAACCGCAGGAAGAGAGCUCAUCUGAAGACUGAGCCCAUCACCACCAUCAGGUUAAAUGUUCUUCCAGGUGAGUGGUGAAAAGAGGUGAAGCUGCUUCCUGGUUGUUGAUGUUUGUUUCUAAAGAUGUUGUUGAUGAGACUUUGUAGAAAGCAGCUGGUCUGAGUGAUGUGAUCAGAGUGCAGUAGAUAAUGUCUGACAGCAGUUUGAAGAGGAAAUGGAUUCUGUUCUGUUCUUCACUCAUCACCUACCUGACAGCUGACACCUCACACCUGUUUCUCACCUGCAGGUCAGACAGGAGGACACACAGAGGAUGGAGGGAAGGAGGAUGAAGGGAAGGAGGAUGGAUCUGUUGGAGUGAUCGUUGGUGUGGUAGUUGCUGUUGUCCUUCUUGUUGUUGUUGGUGUUGGUUUGUUGAUCUACAGAAAGCUUAAAGAGCAUGACUGUCAGCCAGUUUGAAACUUAGACUAAACAUUUAUUUAUUCCAAAUAGAUAAUAAAUUUUGUGCUUAAAGAAUGUAGUGUUUUUUCCCCCAAUCAUGUAAGUGAAACAGGAGCAGACUGAAAUGUCACAUGUGCCAUCAAGAAGUGCCAAAAUAAGAUUUUCAUGAAUUUUUUAUAUUUUCUUUUAUCUUUAUGCAAAACAUCAAUAAACAGUCCAGCAGAUAUGUUCAGGUUUCAUGUUUAAACAUUGAUUAUAAAGUUUUUAAAGAAAUACAACUGAUCCAAAGAUAAAUUAAGAGGUUUAGUCUUAUAGCAGACUAAACCUCUCUUUAUACUGUGAGCUGUUUCUGCUACUUCCUGUUCUCGACCUCCUGCUGAGCUAACGUCUCAUGUGAUCAGGUAGAGGCUAAUUAGGGGGUCACUCCCCUACACUCCCACAGGGCUUAAAUCUGGGACUCUCCACCAUUUGCUCUUAGAACUGAAGAAGCUUCUCAGAUGAGAAGUGAAACGUCUUCAAGCAGCUCAAACAAGUCCAGACACUUUUCUUUCCAAGCUUCUUAAAGUACGAUGACCUGGAUGACUGAGAACCUUCACAGACAAUGUCUCUGUAACUUUACCUUUAGUUUCCAACUACCUGCUGCUUCACUUUAAACAGAUAAAACACUCAUGUUUAUAUAUAUAUAUAUAUAUAUAUAUAUACAUAUAUAUAUAUGUAUAUAUAUAUAUAAAAAGCUUCUAAUGUUUCUCAUAUGCAGCUUUAAGCACUGCACACACUUCUUAACUUUGUUGCAGCACACUGUAUUUAAUAUAUUUACUAUUGUAACGUGUAUUACAUCUAAUGUGGAUGAUGAGUAAGAUUCACGUUAAUUUUUUAUGUAAAAAUGAAGCUGUUGACUCAGUUCAUGCAGUUUGCAGCGACUUUCUGUUUCUAAUGUUUUUACUGUAAAAGUGCAUUCAGAUGGUGUUUGUUGUUUCCUGGUGCUUCAUGAUUAAUCCUGCAGUGAAACUGAAUAAUCUGAGCUGGACUCAAACAUACCACACUGAGCAGACGAACCAAGAAUCAAACUGCAUUAAAACCUGAUGGAAAACCUGCUCACUGACUUUCUCCCACUUUGACUGAAACUGUAUCCAGAGACUCGAUUUAAAGAUUAAUUAUUAUUAUUGUUGUACAACAUCUGCAC